AUUCCCCUAGUAACUGCGAGUGAACCGGGAAAAGCUCAAAUUUUGAAUCUGGCGGUCUUUACGGUCGUCCGAGUUGUAAUCUAGAGAAGCGUCUUCCGCGCUGGACCGUGUAUAAGUUUCCUGGAAUGGAACGUCGUAGAGGGUGACAAUCCCGUCUUUGACACGGACUCCCAGGGCUAUGUGAUGCGCUCUCGACGAGUCGAGUUGUUUGGGAAUGCAGCUCAAAUAGGGUGGUAAAUUCCAUCUAAAGCUAAAUACAGGCGAGAGACCGAUAGCGAACAAGUACCGUGAGGGAAAGAUGAAAAGAACUUUGGAAAGAGAGUUAAACAGUACGUGAAAUUGCUGAAAGGGAAACGCUUGAUGUCAGUCGCGUCGGCCGGGGAUCAGCCUUGCUCUUUUGCUCGGCGUACUUCCUGGUCGACGGGUCAGCAUCGGUUUCGAUCGUCGGAGAAUGGCUCGAGGAAUGUGGCACUCUUCGGAGUGUGUUAUAGACUCGGGUCGAAUACGACGCUUGGGACCGAGGAACUCAGCACGACCUUCACCGGUUCGGAGCUUCGGCUCACGUUAACGUGCUUAGGAUGCUGGCAUAAUGGCCUUAAGCGACCCGUCUUGAAACACGGACCAAGGAGUCUAACUCGCGUGCGAGUGUUUGGGCGAUUAAAACCCGAGCGCGUAAUGAAAGUGAAAGUCGAGACCUCUGUCGUG
rnacentral:rRNA from 1 species